CGCGGCCUAUCAGCUUGUUGGUGAGGUAACGGCUCACCAAGGCGACGACGGGUAGCCGUCCUGAGAGGGUGACCGGCCACACUGGGACUGAGACACGGCCCAGACUCCUACGGGAGGCAGCAGUAGGGAAUAUUGCACAAUGGGCGAAAGCCUGAUGCAGCAACGCCGCGUGCGGGAAGAAGGCCCUAGGGUUGUAAACCGCUUUCAGCAGGGAAGAAAAUGACGGUACCUGCAGAAGAAGGUGCGGCCAACUACGUGCCAGCAGCCGCGGUGACACGUAGGCACCAAGCGUUGUCCGGAUUUAUUGGGCGUAAAGAGCUCGUAGGCGGUUCUGUAAGUCGGAUGUGAAAACUCAGGGCUCAACCCUGAGACGCCAUCUGAUACUGCAGUGACUAGAGUCCGGUAGAGGAAGAUGGAAUUCCUGGUGUAGCGGUGGAAUGCGCAGAUAUCAGGAGGAACACCAAUGGCGAAGGCAGUCUUCUGGGCCGGUACUGACGCUGAGGAGCGAAAGCAUGGGGAGCAAACAGGAUUAGAUACCCUGGUAGUCCAUGCCGUAAACGUUGGGCACUAGGUGUGGGGUCUUCUAACGGAUUCCGUGCCGUAGCUAACGCAUUAAGUGCCCCGCCUGGGGAGUACGG
rnacentral:rRNA from 1 species